rnacentral:lncRNA from 10 species
GCAUACUACACCCAUCUCAGAGCUGGCCUCUUGAGGUAGCCACACCGCCACAGGAACCAUUGUAAUCUCUGCAUCAAGUUCAAGUUCACAAAUAAGCAAAGAGUUUUUAUUAAGGUGACAACAAAUUUCAAACUGACAGCAUUUAAAAUAAAUAUUCACCAUUGCCAACAUAGCUUUUUAAGAGUCUGCAAAUAGAAAGAAAGGUAAUUUUUUUCUGUAUUUUCCAGACUUGUGACAAAGAGCUAGGUGAAAACAGGGGAAAAAGGAGGAAAAUAAAGAAGCACCAGAGUAGCUCCCCUGAGCAGAGAACCAUAACAGAAUUAAGGAAAGAUAUUUCCAUUCCAGAGACCAGACAUUUGGAGGACGUAAUUGAUUCUGAGAGAAAUUUCUCCAAGGAUUCCUGCAGUUCUCCUUUGAACAUACGAAGAGGGAACAUUCUUUCAGUCCUAGAAGUUGCUGAAGCAGAGAUGGAGAACCCCAGACUGGAGGGCUUUGAUUUCACCCUGCACAUCUAAGGGCAUAAAUUGGUUCCAGGUCAGGAUCAUAUGAGCAUAAGUCUGAGUUGGGUGUCUCUGAUCAUUCCAGAAUUCCAUUGGAAGGCAGACUUAUAUUCCUGAGAAGCAGGAAUGAGAAGCACAGUGGAAUUUUGCAAAGGAAACAGAACUUGAACUCAGCAGUCGUAGGUGCCAGUCCUUGACUAGCUAUAAUA